GACGUAGGGCGCGAGCGUUGUCCGGAUUUAUUGGGCGUAAAGAGCUCGUAGGCGGUCUGUCGCGUCUGCUGUGAAAACUCAGGGCUUAACCCUGAGCUUGCAGUGGGUACGGGCAGACUAGAGUGCGGUAGGGGAGACUGGAAUUCCUGGUGUAGCGGUGAAAUGCGCAGAUAUCAGGAGGAACACCGGUGGCGAAGGCGGGUCUCUGGGCCGUAACUGACGCUGGAGGAGC
rnacentral:rRNA from 1 species